GCAUAAUAACCUUGGUGCACGGCCGAAAGGGCUAUCCACUCUGGUAAAGAGUGGCAUCCCUGAAGCAUUGAGGGCAGAGGUAUGGCAGUUAUUAGCAGGCUGCCAUGACAACCAGGCGAUGUUGGAUAGAUACCGAAUUCUCAUCACAAAGGGAUGGCAAAUUUACAGCCAGCAGACUGGAUCUAGCCUGGAAAUACGUUUUGUGUGAACAGCACUACAUUAAAGAGAAGUAUACACCUCUGGCUCAAAUUUGUACUUUAUAUUUUGCCAUGGACUUAUUGCUCUUUAUUAUACCCUUCAUGCAUUUUAAUACCUGUCUGGCCUUCAAAUAUAUUUGAUUUUGUGACUCUAUUAUAUCCCCUUUUCAACCAUUGCCUCAGAAGAGGGGUCUCUCAUAGUGCGCUUUUAGUUGAUUAAUGCCAACUUCCCCACCAGACUCUAAACUACAGGGAAUCAAGGGCUGCAACUAUUUUCCUCUUCAUAGGUUACCCUGUGCAUGCCCUAGGGCCUAGCGUAUACUAGCUGGUCAAUAAAUAUUUGUUUUUGUCCCUCCCAAGAGGGACCUGAGGUCAUUUAUUUAUUCUUUUUUUCUUCCCAUAAACUGUAAGCCUUAUACUGUGUUAGGUUUUCAAUAAACCUGGUAAAGUAUAAGAGAAUGUCUUUUCCCUAAGAAACUUAUCACCUAGUUGGAGAG
rnacentral:lncRNA from 1 species